GCUCCCUCCCUGUUUCUUGUGCACUUGCACACGGGCAGGACAUGGGGAGUCAGAGAGUCUUUGAAAUGUCAGUAGCAGCCGAAAACAUGUGUGCUAUCAGCAUUGUUCUCGUACCAAACCCAGUGCUGAAUCUAAAACACAGCACUAUUCUAGACCCUGAAAAGGAUUAU